rnacentral:sRNA from 1 species
CUUUUCGGAUGGUGAAGUGAAGUGGUGAUGUCCUCUACUCGACCUGGUGGUCGAGUGGUUUCUUGAGAUCUUGAAGCUCCUACUCGACCUCUGGGUCGAGUGGUUUGUCAUGAUCAGGUCCGCUUCUUCCAAAUAGCUCGUCAACAGCUCCAAAUCACCUGAAAUCAACGCAAAUAUGCAACAUGCAUGCAAAACUAUACUAAACAUGCGAAGUGAUGACAAAUGAUGUGAAAUGGUAUAAAACAGUGAUGAUCUGAUGCUAAAAUGAUGACAAAUGGAUGCUCAAAACAUGCAAAAUACACACUUAUCAACAUCCGAAAACCCAUGUUAUCGAAUCGAAUUCUGCAAUCGAAUUGAAGGAAGCUCAAUGU